rnacentral:rRNA from 1 species
AACGAACGCUGGCGGCAUGCCUAACACAUGCAAGUCGAACGAGACCUUCGGGCCUAGUGGCGCACGGGUGCGUAACGCGUGGGAAGCUGCCCUUAGGUUCGGAAUAACUCCCCGAAAGGGGUGCUAAUACCGGAUAAUCUCUUCGGACCAAAGAUCUAUCGCCUUUGGAUGGGCGCGCGUUGGAUUAGCUAGUUGGUAGGGUAAAAGCCUACCAAGGCGACGAUCCAUAGCUGGUCGGUGAGGAUGAUCAGCCACACUGGGACUGAGACACGGCCCAGACUCCUACGGAAGGCAGCAGUGGGGAAUAUUGGACGAUGGGCGAAGGCCUGAUCCAGCAAUGCCGCGUAAGUGAUGAAGGCCUUAGGGUUGUAAAGCUCUUUUACCCGGGAUGAUAGUGACAGUACCGGGAGAAUAAGCUCCGGCUAACUCCGUG